GUAACUGUCACUACGCCAAUUGAUCGUCUUAAAAAAGGAUUCACUUUUAACUGAGAUCCUACCGACUGCGCCAGUUAAAUAUGCGACACUUCAGUUUAAGUUUUAAAAAAGGUUUUAUUCUUUCACUUCAACUUAGCGUACAUUGGUUAGUUAUUUCCCCGACGAUGACUGAGGUCUGAUGUCUUGAACGGAAUUAACUUUGGUUGAAUUCUCCGACGGUGUCGCGAUUGACGUUUGUCUUGAACAGAACUGACUCGCCUUCUUAGAUGUAGACUAUUUUUAUUAUGAUGCUCGGAUUGGGAUUCGGAUUUGGAUUCGGAGGCGUUGGCUUCGACUUCGGCUUCGGAGAUGGAGUACGUGACUCGAUCGAUAUGUGGGAAAGAAGGCUUUUGAUGAAAGGCUUCCGCUGCGUAUGAUCGGUGUUGCAUUACUUGGGGGUGGCUGAGAAUAGGGCCUCUGAUUGGUCAGCUAGGAUGGCGCGGUUCUUGAGAAUCGAUUAGUAAUUGAUCUCUGAAGAGUGGCGUGAUUCUGUUGCGGCUGGAUUCUAGUGCGGCAUCCAUUGUUUUAUGUUCAACUUCUAGUUUUGGGUGUUUGUUUACAUUGCCUGCAAUCGGCUACGCGUGGUCCAUUUCGAGCGUGAGAUUGUUUAUGGGGGUUCGAAGCUGAGGGUGUCGGAUUGUUUAUAGUAUUGUGGGUGCAGACAUAGACAAGGGUAUGCGGAUCAUGGACUAUAGAUAUGUCACUAUAUAUAUAAUAUAACAUAGAAUAUAUGUCAUUCAUUUGAUAAAGUGUUGAUAAAUUUAAAUUAAUACAGUGCGUUAAUUUUUCGAAAUUAUAUAAUGGCAUAAUAAUGGGAUUAGUUUUUUAACUAUUUAUAGAUAAUUAACACAAUCCCGGGGCGUUCUAUAUAGUAAUGUAUAAUAAUAUUUAUAUUAUUUAUGCCUCUAACUGGAACGUACCUUGAGCAUAUAUGCUGUGACCCGAGAGAUGGUGAACUAUACUUGAUCAGGUUGAAGUCAGGGGAAACCCUGAUGGAAGACCGAAACAGUUCUGACGUGCAAAUCGAUUGUCAGAAUUGAGUAUAGGGCGAAAGACCAAUCGAACCAUCUAGUAGCUGGUUCCUUCCGAAGUUUCCCUCAGGAUAGCUGGUGCAUUUUAAUGUUAUAUAAAAUAAUCUUAUCUGGUAAAGCGAAUGAUUAGAGGCCUUAGGGUCGAAACGAUCUUAACCUAUUCUCAAACUUUAAAUGGGUAAGAACCUUAACUUUCUUGAUAUGAAGUUUAAGGUUAUGAUAUAAGUGCCCAGGUAAGCAGAACUGGCGCUGUGGGAUGAACCAAACGUAAUGUUACGGUGCCCAAAUUAACAAAUCAUGCAGAAACCAUGAAAGGCGAUGGUUGCUUAAAACAGCAGGACGGUGAUCAUGGAAGUCGAAAUCCGCUAAGGAGUGUGUAACAACUCACCUGCCGAAGAAACUAGCCCUUAAAAUGGAUGGCGCUUAAGUUGUAUACCUAUACAUUACCGCUAAAGUAGAUGAUUUAUAUUACUUGUGAUAUAAAUUUUGAAACUUUAGUGUUUGGCGUAAGCCUUCAUGGAGCUGCCAUUGGCACAGAUCUUAGUGGUAGUAGCAAAUUAUCGAAUGAGACCUUGGAGGACUGAAGUGGAGAACGGUUUCGUGUGAACAGUGGUUGAUCACCAGUUAGUCGGUCCUAAGUUCAAGGCGAAAGCCGAAAAUUUUCAAGUAAAAAAUCAGUGAGUAAUAUUGUCAAAUCUUUUAUGAUUUUUAAAUACUUGAAUAAUUUUGAACGAAAGGGAAUACGGUUCCAAUUCCGUAACCUGUUGAGUAUCCGUUUGUUAUUAAAUAUGGGUCUCGUGCUCAUCCUGGCAACAGGAACGACCAUAAAGAAGCCGUCGAGAGAUAUCGGAAGAGUUUUCUUUUCUGUUUUAUAGCCGUACUACCAUGGAAGUCUUUCGCAGAGAGAUAUGGUAGAUGGGCUAGAAGAGCAUGACAUAUACUGUUCUGUCGAUAUUUUCUCCUCGGACCUUGAAAAUUUAUGGUGGGGACACGCAAACUUCUCAACAGGCCGUACCAAUAUCCGCAGCUGGUCUCCAAGGUGAAGAGUCUCUAGUCGAUAGAAUAAUGUAGGUAAGGGAAGUCGGCAAAUUAGAUCCGUAACUUCGGGAUAAGGAUUGGCUCUGAAGAUUGAGAUAGUCGGGCUUGAUUGGGAAACAAUAACAUGGUUUAUGUGCUCGUUCUGGGUAAAUAGAGUUUCUAUCAUUUAUGGUAGGUACUUGUUCCCCGGAUAGUUUAGUUACGUAGCCAACUGUGGAACUUUCUUGCUAAAAUUUUUAAGAAUACUAAUUGGGUAAAAACAGUUAGUUCUUAUUAAUUAUAACGAUUAUCAAUAAACAAUCAAUUCAGAACUGGCACGGACUUGGGGAAUCCGACUGUCUAAUUAAAACAAAGCAUUGUGAUGGCCGUAGCGGGUGUUGACACAAUGUGAUUUUUGCCCAGUGCUCUGAAUGUCAAAGUGAAGAAAUUCAAGUAAGCGCGGGUCAACGGCGGGAGUAACUAUGACUCUCUUAAGGAAGAUAUGGAUCUGAAUAAUAGCGUAGAAGGGGAUUUAUUCCGUAAUUCGUAAAUCGUAAAAAUCAGAUCAAGUUGAUUCAAGAUCUUCUCGUGGUAUCUUCUGGAUGCUAUUAGACUGAAUUUAUUUAGUCUAAUAGUAACUAACUUGAACAGCGAGACAGUCCCUGGGGUUGCCAUCCCCUUGGACGGUUCAUUUUGAUUGGUAGAAAUAUGGAAAAUAUAACGCCUCGGAUGACAAUAUCGAUUUCGUUGACGAACCAAAUCCCUACGGUUUCUAGCCUAGUGGCCCAAUCUGAACAUAGUGCACAGGUUAACCCAAACAGUGGUUACCAAUGCACGAUAUGUGAAGCGUCUUUCCGUAGCAAAAGCGGACUAGGCGUUCAUAUGUCACGUCGACACAAAGACGAGUUUGAUCAACUUCGUCUUCGUACCGACAAGAAGGCACAAUGGAGUGAGGAAGAGUUGAGUAUGAUGGCAAGAAAAGAGAUCGAGCUCGCAGCAAAUGGAGAAAGAUUUCUAAAUAAGAAGCUAGCGGAAGUAUUCACGAACCGUAGCGUCGACGCUAUCAAGAAAUGUCGACAGAGGGAGAGACCAAAAUCGUACAGCUAAAGGGCCAAGCAGUUCAUCUCCCAGAAGAAUUACAAUCUGAAACCAUACAGCGCCGCCCUAGUAUACGCGAGCGAGAUCUCCAAGUAACGCCACCAAACACUCUCGGAACCACUUCUACUGAAAUGUCGAACAGGGAAAUCCUGGCAGUACUACAGGGGUAUCCUCCUGUAGUAUGCGAUGACCGAUGGAGAGUUGAGGUGUUGCAAUCCAUCGUAGAUGGAGCGCAGGCCUCGGGUAAUGAAAUUACUCUUCAGUGCUUGUCUACUUACCUUUU
rnacentral:rRNA from 1 species